CAAAGGGAAAAAAAAAAACUUCCCCAUGGGCUGGGAUCAAUCCUGCUGAGGUUUUAUUCUCUUACAGCCAACAGGGACUAAAAAUUUGGUUCUGGGAUGGGAAAAAUCUGAUAAAUGUUGGAAAUCCAAAACCCAUCCAAAAUCUGAUAAAUGAUGGAAAUCCAAAACCCGUUUGCAAGGAGGAGAUUUCUCCGAUGGCAGCAGAGCAGAGCUGAUCAUUAUCAGGGAAAAGAAACACCUUGAAAUUAAUUUAAAUAAAUUAAACAGCUCCAUUUCUGUGGAAAAAAAAUCCAGGAAAAACAAAAAAAAGCACCUGAAAUUAUUUCAAUUAAUUAAAUAGAUUAACAGCAUUUUAGUGGUAAAAAUUGAGAAAAUAUUGGUAUUCAGGACCCCAAAAUUCCCCGAUUUUUACCCCAAAACAAUUCCCCCAUUCAGGUGCUGCCAGGUCAAGCUUUGUCCAGAAAAGUUUUGGCAACAGCUCCUGGGAAAGGUCAGAGCUGUGGUUUGGGUCAGUUCAAGGCUCCUGCAGGAGUUUGGGAAAAGGAGAAAUCCUGGGAUUGGAGGAUGAGGAAGGGAGGGGGAUGAAACCUGCUGCAGGUACAGCCCAAAAAAUCAAAAUUUCAAAAUAUCCUGAGGGAACAGGGCCCGAAACCUGGAUCCAAACCCUUCCAAGGCUGGGUAUUGUGGGAAAAAAUAUGGAUAUUAUGGAGAAAAAUAUGGAUAUUAUGGAAAAUUAUCCAGGAAAAGGCGCAAGAUCGCACCUGAAGCAGCCAAAAUCAAAAAUGUGUUUGGUAGGAGCAGCCUGGCCAAAAUGGCUCCUGAAAUCCUUUAAUUCACACCCCAACAGCCCCAAAAAUCCAAAUUUUUAG
rnacentral:lncRNA from 1 species